AAAAAAAUUUCGAGGAAGUUCUUUUUAAUGAAAGCAAUGAUUUGAUCACAAGACAAUCUAAGAGUAUGAUUGAUAGACAUGAUGUGGCUCAUUUAAAUGGACGGUGUAAGGCCACACACUUGCAUCUGAAACAACGUCUCUGUUACAGCAGAGUAGUUUCGGAGACUUUGAGUUUUAAGAUCAGUUUACCCACAAGUCUUUAGCAUGUGUAAUGUUAGUGGAAACUGAUGUCUGCAGGAAGUCAGGAAGUACCCAAUACAGGAGCCAUGCAGGUUUUAAAUUAUGGUGGUCUUGCUUUGCUGUUUAUUCUGAGAGUCCUCAGGCUGCAGAGCGAGAUGCUUUCCCAGGUUAGGGCUGGCCAGGUACUGGGAUGAAGCACCCUGGUCAUUGCAUCAGAGUUGUAUGCCCAGAGAGAAGCAGGCUGUGAUUCCUGUGUUGAGAAACUCUCCGUUAUUUAAUCUUUCCAGUAUGUGUUUUCAUAAGUCAUAAUUAUGUCAAAUACCCUUGUGUUUUAGUAACUGUCUCUAUAAUUUAGUAGUCAAUGUAAAAAAGAAACUGAAAUACUAUUUUUACUAUAGAAUGUCCACAAUUAAUGACUUUGAUCUGUUAUGGAAUAUGUGCAUUCAUUUUCUGGAUAAAGUCACCAUGGUCAUUUCAUUGUAUCUGCUCUUGGUGUAACUGAACAAGGUUGGUUUGGUCUUUCCCUACAGGGUUAUUCAAGCAUCUGUUCUUCGUGUAAUUUUAACAUUCUUGGUAGUGCCACUAAAAAGCCACUGAAGUCAUCAUAGUUUAAUUACCCAACCUAAGAUAAUACUGAUAUUGUAUAGUCAAGAACAUAAAAAUUCUUUCCUUUAGGAUUUUACAACAUAAAAGAAGAAGUAAAGCGGAAGUUGGGGCCAGGGUAAUGAGCAGGGCAGCCUUUAGUCUUCCCCUUUCUCUCACAGAAUAUGAAGCAGGGAGCACUGUGUGUUCACUGUGUGUGCUUGUGCUAUAGGGACACAGGGAAAAUGUGGCAUAGUAGAGGCCAACAAACAUGAUGUCAGCAUGGUCCCUGGUGUCAGUUCUCUAUGGUUGGUUGAAUUCAAUCCUGGCUGCCCUUGAACGUUUGCUUAAGUCAAGGCAGAUUGUCAUGUUUUCUCUUUCGUCCCUUUUCAUAUUUACCUCCUUCUUGUGGUCUAAAUCUCUUGUCAAUCCUUAACAAAACUGUGUUGUUGCCUUUUUUUAAAUGUAAAAAGAAUUUCAAUACUGUCAACUGUAGUUUGCCUGAAUGAAAAUGUACAGUGUGUGUCAGAAUAUAUCUGCUAACACU
rnacentral:lncRNA from 1 species